AGAAUCAACGCUGGCGGCGUGCCUAACACAUGCAAGUCGAACGGGAAAGUGGAGCAAUCCAUGAGUAUAGUGGCGACCGGGUGAGUAACACGUGACUACCUACCCUUGAGUGGGGGAUAACCUCGGGAAACCGAGGCUAAUACCGCAUAAUAUCGAAAGAUCAAAGGAGUAAUCCGCUUUUGGAGGGGGUCGCGGCUGAUUAGCUAGUUGGUAAGGUAAUGGCUUACCAAGGCGAAGAUCGGUA
rnacentral:rRNA from 1 species